rnacentral:rRNA from 1 species
CCUGCCAGUAGUCAUAUGCUUGUCUCAAAAGAUUAAGCCAUGCAUGUCUAAGUAUAAACAACUUUAUACUGUGAAACUGCAGAUGGCUCAUUAAAUCAGUUUAUAAUUUAUUUGAUGAUCAACUUACUACAUGGAUAACCGUAGUAAUUCUAGAGCUAAUACAUGCGCAAAGUCCCGACUCUUGCGGGGAGGGAUGUAUUUAUUAGAUAAAAAACCAAUGCGGGGUCUCGGCCCCGGUGUUGCGGUGAUUCAUAAUAACUUGUCGGAUCGCAUGGCCUCGCGCCGGCGACAGUUCAUUCAAAUUUCUGCCCUAUCAGCUUUCGACGGUAGUGUAGUGGACUACCGUGGCGUUAACGGGUGACGGAGAAUUAGGGUUCGGUUCCGGAGAGGGAGCCUGAGAAAUGGCUACCACAUCCA